GACGAACGCUGGCGGCGUGCUUAACACAUGCAAGUCGAACGGAAAGGCCCUGCUUUUGUGGGGUGCUCGAGUGGCGAACGGGUGAGUAACACGUGAGUAACCUGCCCUUGACUUUGGGAUAACUUCAGGAAACUGGGGCUAAUACCGGAUAGGAGCUCCUGCUGCAUGGUGGGGGUUGGAAAGUUUCGGCGGUUGGGGAUGGACUCGCGGCUUAUCAGCUUGUUGGUGGGGUAGUGGCUUACCAAGGCUUUGACGGGUAGCCGGCCUGAGAGGGGGCCCGGCCCCAGGGGGCUCGGGGCACGGCCCGGGCCCCUUCGGGGGCAAGGGGUGGGAGAUUGUGCCCAAUGGGCGGAGGGGGGAUGCAGGACCCCCGGGUGGGGAAUGCCGGCUUUUGGGGUGUAAACGCCUUUCGCCUGUACCCAGCCGUGAGGAACGGAAAUGGGUAAAAAAGCACCGGCUACUUACGG
rnacentral:rRNA from 1 species